AAACAGGUUAAUAUUCCUGUACUUGGUGUUACUGCGAAGGGGGGACGGAGAAGGCUAUGUCAUCCGGGCGACGGUUGUCCCGGUUUAAGCGUGCAGGUGGGUGGACCAGGCAAAUCCGGUCUGCUGUAACACUGAGGCGUGAUGACGAGGCACUACGGUGCUGAAGUGACAGAUGCCCUGCUUCCAGGAAAAGCCUCUAAGCAUCAGGUAACAUUGAAUCGUACCCCAAACCGACACAGGUGGUCAGGUAGAGAAUACUCAGGCGCUUGAGAGAACUCGGGUGAAGGAACUAGGCAAAAUGGUGCCGUAACUUCGGGAGAAGGCACGCUGGGCAUGGUGAAGUCCCUUGCGGACGGAGCUGAGCCCAGUCGCAGAUACCAGCUGGCUGCAACUGUUUAAUAAAAACACAGCACUGUGCAAACACGAAAGUGGACGUAUACGGUGUGACGCCUGCCCGGUGCCGGAAGGUUAAUUGAUGGGGUUAUCCGCAAGGAGAAGCUCUUGAUCGAAGCCCCGGUAAACGGCGGCCGUAACUAUAACGGUCCUAAGGUAGCGAAAUUCCUUGUCGGGUAAGUUCCGACCUGCACGAAUGGCGUAAUGAUGGCCAGGCUGUCUCCACCCGAGACUCAGUGAAAUUGAACUCGCUGUGAAGAUGCAGUGUACCCGCGGCAAGACGGAAAGACCCCGUGAACCUUUACUAUAGCUUGACACUGAACCUUGAGCCUUGAUGUGUAGGAUAGGUGGGAGGCUUUGAAGUGUGGACGCCAGUCUGCAUGGAGCCAACCUUGAAAUACCACCCUUUAAUGUUUGAUGUUCUAACGUGGACCCGUAAUCCGGGUUGCGGACAGUGUCUGGUGGGUAGUUUGACUGGGGCGGUCUCCUCCCAAAGCGUAACGGAGGAGCACGAAGGUUAGCUAAUCCUGGUCGGACAUCAGGAGGUUAGUGCAAAGGCAUAAGCUAGCUUGACUGCGAGAGUGACGGCUCGAGCAGGUGCGAAAGCAGGUCUUAGUGAUCCGGUGGUUCUGAAUGGAAGGGCCAUCGCUCAACGGAUAAAAGGUACUCCGGGGAUAACAGGCUGAUACCGCCCAAGAGUUCAUAUCGACGGCGGUGUUUGGCACCUCGAUGUCGGCUCAUCACAUCCUGGGGCUGAAGUAGGUCCCAAGGGUAUGGCUGUUCGCCAUUUAAAGUGGUACGCGAGCUGGGUUUAGAACGUCGUGAGACAGUUCGGUCCCUAUCUGCCGUGGGCGUUGGAAGAUUGAGGGGGGUUGCUCCUAGUACGAGAGGACCGGAGUGAACGCACCGCUGGUGUUCGGGUUGUCAUGCCAAUGGCACUGCCCGGUAGCUACGUGCGGAAGAGAUAACCGCUGAAAGCAUCUAAGCGGGAAACUUGCCCCGAGAUGAGUCUUCCCUGGGCCCUUGAGGCCCCUGAAGGGACGUUUAAGACGAAGACGUUGAUAGGCUGGGUGUGUAAGCGUAGCGAUACGUUGAGCUAACCAGUACUAAUGACCCGAGAGGCUUAACCUUACAACACCGAAGGUGUUU
rnacentral:rRNA from 1 species